rnacentral:rRNA from 1 species
CCUACGGGAGGCAGCAGUGAGGAAUAUUGGUCAAUGGGCGUAAGCCUGAACCAGCCAAGUCGCGUGAGGGAUGAAGGUUCUAUGGAUCGUAAACCUCUUUUAUAAGGGAAUAAAGUGUGGGACGUGUCCUGUUUUGUAUGUACCUUAUGAAUAAGGAUCGGCUAACUCCGUGCCAGCAGCCGCGGUAAUACGGAGGAUCCGAGCGUUAUCCGGAUUUAUUGGGUUUAAAGGGUGCGUAGGCGGGCUUUUAAGUCAGGUGUGAAAGUCUGUGGCUCAACCAUAGAAUUGCCGUUGAAACUGGGAGGCUUGAGUAUGUUUGAGGCAGGCGGAAUGCGUGGUGUAGCGGUGAAAUGCGUAGAUAUCACGCAGAACCCCGAUUGCGAAGGCAGCCUGCCAAGCCAUGACUGACGCUGAUGCACGAAAGCGUGGGGAUCAAACAGGAUUAGAUACCCCAGUAGUC